GGGGGUGUAGCUCAGUGGUACAGCAUGUGCUUGGCAUGCCUGAGGUCCUGGGUGUAAUCCCCAGUGCCUUCC
rnacentral:tRNA from 1 species